GAGUUUGAUCCUGGCUCAGGAUGAACGCUGGCGGCGUGCCUAAUACAUGCAAGUCGAACGAAACUUCUUUAUCACCGAGUGCUUGCACUCACCGAUAAAGAGUUGAGUGGCGAACGGGUGAGUAACACGUGGGCAACCUGCCCAAAAGAGGGGGAUAACACUUGGAAACAGGUGCUAAUACCGCAUAACCAUAGUUACCGCAUGGUAGCUAUGUAAAAGGUGGCUGUGCUACCGCUUUUGGAUGGGCCCGCGGCGCAUUAGCUAGUUGGUGAGGUAAAGGCUUACCAAGGCAAUGAUGCGUAGCCGAACUGAGAGGUUGAUCGGCCACAUUGGGACUGAGACACGGCCCAAACUCCUACGGGAGGCAGCAGUAGGGAAUCUUCCACAAUGGGCGAAAGCCUGAUGGAGCAACGCCGCGUGGGUGAAGAAGGUCUUCGGAUCGUAAAACCCUGUUGUUAGAGAAGAAAGUGCGUGAGAGUAACUGUUCACGCUUCGACG
rnacentral:rRNA from 2 species